rnacentral:rRNA from 1 species
GAAACUGGGGAUUUGGGGAUUAAAUAUAGUGUUCCAUCAGAACUCCAAAGUUAAGCUAGUUUGCGCGAGAGCAAUCCUAGGAUGGGUAACCUACUGGGAAGUUCUCGUGUGAGUUCCU